AGUUUGUCGUUUGUGUCCUGGCUCAGAGUGAACGCUGGCGGCGUGCCUAAAUACAUGCAAGUCGAACGAUGAAGCUUCUAGCUCGCUAGAGUGCUGAUUAGUGGCGCACGGGUGAGUAACGCAUAGGUCAUGUGCCUCUUAGUUUGGGAUAGCCAUUGGAAACGAUGAUUAAUACCAGAUACUCCCUACGGGGGAAAGAUUUAUCGCUAAGAGAUCACUAUGUCCUAUCAGCUUUUUGGUAAGGUAAUGGGGCUUACCAAGGCUAUGACGGGUAUCCGGCCUGAGAGGGUGAACGGACACACUGGAACUGAGACACGGUCCAGACUCCUACGGGAGGCAGCAGUAGGGAAUAUUGCUCAAUGGGGGAAACCCUGAAGCAGCAACGCCGCGUGGAGGAUGAAGGUUUUAGGAUUGUAAACUCCUUUUGUUAGAGAAGAUAAUGACGGUAUCGAACGAAUAAGCACCGGCUAACUCCGUGCCAGCAGCCGCGGUAAUACGGAGGGUGCAAGCGUUACUCGGAAUCACGGGUUUCCAUCGUGACUGUACUGUACUGGCUUGGGCGUAAAGAGCGCGUAGGCGGGAUAGUCAGUCAGGUGUGAAAUCCUAUGGCUUAACCAUAGAACUGCAUUUGAAACUACUAUUCUAGAGUGUGGGAGAGGUAGCCCUAAACGAUGGAUGCUAGUUGUUGGAGGGCUUAGUCUCUCCAGUAAUGCAGCUAACGCAUUAAGCAUCCCGCCUGGGGAGUACGGUCGCAAGAUUAAAAUUCAAAGGAAUAGACGGGGACCCGCACAAGCGGUGGAGCAUGUGGUUUAAUUCGAAGAUACACGAAGAACCUUACCUAGGCUUGACAUUGAGAGAAUCCGCUAGAAAUAGUGGAGUGUCUAGCUUGCUAGANNUUGUUUUUCAGGUGCUGCACGGCUGUGUCAGCUCGUGUCGUGAGAUGUUGGGUUAAGUCCCCGGGCGAGCGCAACCCCCUUUCUUAGUUGCUAACAGGUUAUGCUGAGAACUCUAAGGAUACUGCCUCCGUAAGGAGGAGGAAGGUGGGGACGUCGUCAAGUCAUCAUGGCCCUUACGCCUAGGGCUACACACGUGCUACAAUGGGGUGNNNCUUUGAGAAGCAAUACUGUGAAGUGGAGCCAAUCUUCAAAACACCUCUCAGUUCGGAUUGUAGGCUGCAACUCGCCUGCAUGAAGCUGGAAUCGCUAGUAAUCGCAAAUCAGCCAUGUUGCGGUGAAUACGUUCCCGGGUCUUGUACUCACCGCCCGUCACACCAUGGGAGUUGUGUUUGCCUUAAGUCAGGAUGCUAAAUUGGCUGCGUCAAAACUCACACACAGCGACUGGGGUGAAGUCGUAACAAGGUAACCGUACCUGCGGCUGGAUCACCUCCUU
rnacentral:rRNA from 1 species